rnacentral:rRNA from 1 species
UACGAAGGGGGCUAGCGUUGUUCGGAAUCACUGGGCGUAAAGGGCGCGUAGGCGGCUUUGUAAGUCGGGGGUGAAAGCCUGUGGCUCAACCACAGAAUUGCCUUCGAUACUGCAUGGCUUGAGACCGGAAGAGGUAAGUGGAACUGCGAGUGUAGAGGUGAAAUUCGUAGAUAUUCGCAAGAACACCAGUGGCGAAGGCGGCUUACUGGUCCGGUUCUGACGCUGAGGCGCGAAAGCGUGGGGAGCAAACAGGAUUAGAAA